rnacentral:rRNA from 1 species
UAUUGGAGUCCGAUUUAGCCAUGCUAGUUGCACGAGUUCAGACUCGUAGCAGAUAGCUCAGUAACACGUGGCCAAACUACCCUCUGGAGCACGAUAACCUCGGGAAACUGAGGCUAAUAGUGCAUACCGCUCGACGCCUGGAACUGGCUCGAGCCAGAAAUGCCCCGGCGCCAGAGGAUGUGGCUGCGGCCGAUUAGGUAGACGGUGGGGUAACGGCCCACCGUGCCAAUAAUCGGUACGGGUUGUGAGAGCAAGAGCCCGGAGACGGUAUCUGAGACAAGAUACCGGGCCCUACGGGGCGCAGCAGGCGCGAAACCUUUACACUGCACGCCAGUGCGAUAAGGGGACUCCAAGUGCGAGGGCAUAACGUCCUCGCUUUUUGUGAUCGUAAGGUGGUCACAGAAUAAGGGCUGGGCAAGACCGGUGCCAGCCGCCGCGGUAAUACCGGCAGCCCAAGUGAUGGCCGCUCUUAUUGGGCCUAAAGCGUCCGUAGCUGGCCGCGCAAGUCCAUCGGGAAAUCUGUCCGCCUAACGGACAGGCGUCCGGCGGAAACUGUGCGGCUUGGGACCGGAAGACCAGAGGGGUACGUCUGGGGUAGGAGUGAAAUCCUGUAAUCCUGGACGGACCACCGGUGGCGAAAGCGCCUCUGGAAGACGGAUCCGACGGUGAGGGACGAAAGCUCGGGUCACGAACCGGAUUAGAUACCCGGGUAGUCCGAGCUGUAAACGAUGUCUGCUAGGUGUGGCACAGGCUACGAGCCUGUGCUGUGCCGUAGGGAAGCCGUGAAGCAGAC